rnacentral:rRNA from 1 species
GUGGGGAAUAUUGCACAAUGGGGGAAACCCUGAUGCAGCAACGCCGCGUGAGUGAAGAAGGUCUUCGGAUCGUAAAGCUCUGUCUUUGGGGACGAUAAUGACGGUACCCAAAGAGGAAGCCACGGCUAACUACGUGCCAGCAGCCGCGGUAAUACGUAGGUGGCAAGCGUUGUCCGGAAUUACUGGGCGUAAAGGAUGCGUAGGCGGAUAUGUAAGUCAGAUGUGAAAUACCCGAGCUCAACUUGGGUGCUGCAUUUGAAACUGCAUGUCUAGAGUGCGGGAGAGGAAAGUGGAAUUCCUAGUGUAGCGGUGAAAUGCGUAGAGAUUAGGAAGAACACCAGUGGCGAAGGCGACUUUCUGGACCGUAACUGACGCUGAGGCAUGAAAGCGUGGGUAGCAAACAGGAUUAGAAACCCUAGUAGUCC